rnacentral:rRNA from 1 species
AUUGAACGAUGGCGGCAGGCUUAACACAUGAAAGUCGAGAGAGCGGCGGACGGGCGAGUAAUGUAUGGGAAACUGACUGAUGGAGGGGGAUAAAUACUGGAAACGGUAGCUAAUAACGCAUACAAUCGGAUUUGCCAAGAUGGGCUUAGCUAGUAGUUGGGGUAACGGCUCACCUAGGCGACGAGCCCUAGCUGGUCUGAGAGGAUGAACAGCCACACUGGAACUGAGACACGGUCCAGACUCAUACGGGAGGCAGCAGUGGGGAAUAUUGCACAAUGGGCGCAAGCCUGAUGCAGCCAUGCCGCUUGUAUGAAGAAGGCCGUCGGGUUGUAAAGUACUUUCAGUCGGGAGGCGUUACCGACAGAAGAAGCACCGGCUAACUCCGCGCCAGCAGCCGCGGUAAUUC